rnacentral:rRNA from 1 species
AACGAACGCUGGCGGCAGGCCUAACACAUGCAAGUCGAGCGCCCAGCAAUGGGAGCGGCAGACGGGUGAGUAACACGUGGGGAACCUUCCCUAUAGUACGGAAUAGCCCAGGGAAACUUGGAGUAAUACCGCAUACGCCCCGAGAGGGGAAAGAUUUAUCGCUAUAGGAUGGGCCCGCGUAGGAUUAGCUAGUUGGUGAGGUAAUGGCUCACCAAGGCGACGAUCCUUAGCUGGUCUGAGAGGACGACCAGCCACACUGGGACUGAGACACGGCCCAGACUCCUACGGGAGGCAGCAGUGGGGAAUAUUGGACAAUGGGCGCAAGCCUGAUCCAGCCAUGCCGUGUGAGUGAU